AAAGUCGUAACAAGGUUUCCGUAGGUGAACCUGCGGAAGGAUCAUUAGCUAGUCGAACUCCCCGGAGGCCGAUGUAUUCGGUUUCGAAGACAUCUUAGGCGGUAAGGGGCUAGUACACAAUGGCGACCCACCCUUUGCGCACCGUUAUCCGUUUGCCUUGGCAGAGCUUUGGGGAGGAGAGGUUGGAAACUUCUUUGUCCCCCCCAACUUCCCGCCCGGCUCUAUCCCCUCGGGGACAGUUGGUGGUGGAAGCGGCCUGCCGAGGUUUUUUGCUCCAAAACCCACACGAACCAACUUGCCUGAAAAAUAAAAAAAAAAUAAUCCAAACAUAACUUUCAACAACGGAUCUCUUGGCUCUC
rnacentral:misc_RNA from 1 species